ensembl:lncRNA
GCUAGCUAAUUUGACCUGGAACAUAAUCAUGGAGGUGUUAUUUUACCUGAAAAGCACAAGGUCCUCUACUCCAACAAUUAAUCCACACAUAAAAACGGUCAACCGAAUCGUUUCUAGGCUUCUUCUCUGGACGUUACAUUGUGACUGGCAAAUUUAAUAAAUUAGGUGCAUUAUCGCCACCGACCUUGUUCGUCUUUCAGUCACCCACGUGGGUAUAACCAAUGAGGAGAUGUCACGUGGGUACCUGCUUCUAUAAACCAAUGAGGAGAUGUCACGUGGGUACCUGCUUCUAUAAGCCAAUGAGGAGAUGUCACGUGGGUACCUGCUUCUAUAAACCAAUGAGGAGAUGGCAGGUGGGUACCUGCUUCUAUAAGCCAAUGAGGAGAUGGCACGUGGGGACCUGCUUCUAUAAGCCAAUGAGGAGAUGGCACGUGGGGACCUGCUUCUAUAAGCCAAUGAGGAGAUGGGAGAGGCAGGACUGGCAGCGUGAUCUGCGUCAGAAAUAGAACUGACUUCUAUUUUAGCCCUUGGCAACGCAGACGCUCGUUGGCAGGUGCGCGCAGUGUGGGUGCAAUAACUGAAUAAUAUAGAUUUCUAAAUGUAUUUUGCACCGACAGAUUAAAUAUGUUUUCAUUCUACACACAAUACCCCAUAAUGACAUCACAAUACCCCAUAAUGACAUCACAAUACCCCAUAAUGACAUCACAAUACCCCAUAAUGACAUCACAAUACCCC